GGUAAAUUUGAGAUUAGUGCCACUAAUAAUAUAUUGGAUUGCCUACUUACCACCAGAUGAGGACAAGAGGCUGAUGAUGGGCUCAGUCUGGCUCCACUGAUCUGGUGUAGAAGAGGCUCUCUGAAGACUGUUUGUAACAGUGCUCACAAAAAUCAAUGAACAGGAAGCAUUUUUUGGGGCCCCUUAUACAGCUCAAUGUCUAGGCACCCAGGUUCUGACCCUGAGUAUGCCUACAAGGAUUGCCCAAAUGUCCACCUACAUGGCCCACCCAUGAGUUCUCUCACAGGGAGUGGAGUGUAUGUGUGUAGGGGAUGUGUCAUUCUAGAGGAUGUAAUGUG